GCCGGGUGGGGUGGCGGGCACCUGUAAUCCCACCUACUCGGGAGGCUGAGGCAGGAGAAUUGCUUGAACUCAGGAGGCAGAGGUUGCAGUGAGCAGAGAUCAUGCCACUGCAGUCUAGCCUGGGUGACAGAGCAAGACUCCAUCUCAA
rnacentral:SRP_RNA from 1 species